UACGAAGGGGGCUAGCGUUGCUCGGAAUGACUGGGCGUAAAGGGCGCGUAGGCGGAUGGCACAGUCAGAUGUGAAAUUCCCGGGCUUACCUGGGGGCUGCAUUUGAUACGUGUGAUCUAGAGUGAGGAAGAGGGUCGUGGAAUUCCCAGUGUAGAGGUGAAAUUCGUAGAUAUUGGGAAGAACACCGGUGGCGAAGGCGGCGACCUGGUCCUUGACUGACGCUGAGGCGCGAAAGCGUGGGGAGCAAACAGG
rnacentral:rRNA from 1 species